rnacentral:rRNA from 1 species
UACGUAGGGAGCGAGCGUUGUCCGGAAUUACUGGGCGUAAAGGGCGCGUAGGCGGGGAUUUAAGUCAGAUGUGAAAACUCUGGGCUCAACCUGGAGACUGCAUUUGAAACUGGAUCUCUUGAGGGCAGGAGAGGAAAGUGGAAUUCCUAGUGUAGCGGUGAAAUGCGUAGAUAUUAGGAGGAACACCAGUGGCGAAGGCGGUUUACUGGACGACAACUGACGCUGAGACACGAAAGCGUGGGGAGCAAACAGGAUUAGAUACCCCGGUAGUCCCUGA